UACGUAGGGUGCGAGCGUUAAUCGGAAUUACUGGGCGUAAGCGUGCGCAGGCGGUUCGUUGUGUCGGCGGUGAAAGCCCCGGGCUUAACCUGGGAAUGGCCGUUGAAACUGGCGAACUGGAGUGUGGCAGAGGGGGGUGGAAUUCCGCGUGUAGCAGUGAAAUGCGUAGAGAUGCGGAGGAACACCGAUGGCGAAGGCAGCCCCCUGGGCUAACACUGACGCUCAGGCACGAAAGCGUGGGGAGCAAACAGG
rnacentral:rRNA from 1 species